UUCUUUCGAUUUUCAAGGGGGAUUUCGUUUUGCCCAAGCAAGGGAAAAAGAAGCGAGAGCCGCCUCGAGUCGCGUGACCCGAGCCGAGCUAACUCGCCGCUCGACUCGCUAUUUAAAUCGCCCCUCCUCACUCGCUCGUCUCAGGAACACCCUAAGUCACUGUCUUUCUCUGUCCUCUGCUUCUCGUCUUCUCUCUCGUCAUUUCCAAUCCCUCGUCGCGCGGCGCUUGAUCAUGGGGAGGGUUAAGAACGGAAACAACGGUUUGGGAAGGAUCGUUCGCUUGGUCGCGAGGGUCGUUCUCCAGAGGGACGAAAUGCGAUGU